rnacentral:rRNA from 1 species
CCUGCCGCGUGUAUGAAGAAGGCCUUCGGGUUGUAAAGUACUUUCAGCGGGGAGGAAGGGAGUAAAGUUAAUACCUUUGCUCAUUGACGUUACCCGCAAAAAAAGCACCGGCUAACUCCGUGCCAGCAGCCGCGGUAAUACGGAGGGUGCAAGCGUUAAUCGGAAUUACUGGGCGUAAAGCGCACGCAGGCGGUUUGUUAAGUCAAAUGUGAAAUCCCCGGGCUCAACCUGGGAACUGCAUCUGAUACUGGCAAGCUUGAGUCUCGUAAAGGGGGGUAGAAUUCCAGGUGUAGCGGUGAAAUGCGUAGAGAUCUGGAGGAAUACCGGUGGCGAAGGCGGCCCCCUGGACGAAAACUGACGCUCAGGUGCGAAAGCGUGGGGAGCAAACAGGAUUAAAUACCCUGGUAGUCCACGCCGUAAACGAUGUCGACUUGGAGGUUGUGCCCUUGAGGCGUGGCUUCCGGAGCUAACGCGUUAAGUCGACCGCCUGGGGAGUACGGCCGCAAGGUUAAAACUCAAAUGAAUUGACGGGGGCCCGCACAAG